GGUAAGCCGAAGACAGCUGCUGGUUUUUAUAACUAGGGAAACUCCGCACAUCGCAUAGACUGUAAAGUUGAAAGACUUAUGCUGAGAAGUAUGACUCUGGAGCAGAAACGACACGGCCUUUGAUGGAUGACAAUGAUGCUUGACUGAUGGACAUUAAAGGAAUCGGUGAAACGGCCAAUCUACAGGAUGCAAGAA
rnacentral:RNase_P_RNA from 1 species